UACGUAGGGGGCAAGCGUUGUCCGGAUUUAUUGGGCGUAAAGCGCGUGUAGGCGGCCUUGUAAGUCCGUUCUGAAAGCCCGGGGCUCAACCCCGGGAGGCGGAUGGAUACUGCAAGGCUCGAGUCCGGAAGAGGCAAGUGGAAUUCCCGGUGUAGCGGUGAAAUGCGCAGAUAUCGGGAGGAACACCAAUGGCGAAGGCAGCUUGCUGGGACGGUACUGACGCUGAGACGCGAAAGCGUGGGGAGCAAACGGG
rnacentral:rRNA from 1 species